rnacentral:rRNA from 1 species
AGAGUUUGAUCCUGGCUCAGAACGAACGCUGGCGGCAUGCCUAACACAUGCAAGUCGAACGGGAUCCUGGCUUCGGUCAGGUGAGAGUGGCGGACGGGUGAGUAACGCGUGGGAACCUGCCCAUUGGUCUGGGAUAACUGCGGGAAACUGCGGCUAAUACCGGAUGUACCCCCCUGGUCAAACGGGGAGGGGAAAGAUUUAUCGCCGAUGGAGGGGCCCGCGUCAGAUUAGGUAGUUGGUGAGGUAACGGCUCACCAAGCCUACGAUCUGUAGCUGGUCUGAGAGGAUGAUCAGCCACACUGGGACUGAGAUACGGCCCAGACUCCUACGGGAGGCAGCAGUGGGGAAUAUUGGACAAUGGGGGCAACCCUGAUCCAGCAAUGCCGCGUGAGUGAUGAAGGCCUUAGGGUUGUAAAGCUCUUUUGCCAGGGACGAUGAUGACGGUACCUGGAGAAUAAGCCCCGGCUAACUUCGUGCCAGCAGCCGCGGUAAUACGAAGGGGGCUAGCGUUGUUCGGAAUUACUGGGCGUAAAGGGCGCGUAGGCGGCCGCUCAAGUCAGAUGUGAAAGUCCUGGGCUUAACCUGGGGACUGCAUUUGAUACUGAUUGGCUUGAAUUCGGGAGAGGAUAGCGGAAUUCCCAGUGUAGAGGUGAAAUUCGUAGAUAUUGGGAAGAACACCGGUGGCGAAGGCGGCUAUCUGGACCGACAUUGACGCUGAGGCGCGAAAGCGUGGGGAGCAAACAGGAUUAGAUACCCUGGUAGUCCACGCCGUAAACGAUGAGUGCUAGACGCUGGGGGGC